UCCUCAAUAGUUUCAAAUAAUUUCUAGAGGUUUUCUGAAAGAGAUUCUGCUAUGUGGUAUAGCCUUUGUUUUGACUGACAUUUAUCUACUAUGAUUUCCAGGAGUACAAUAUCUAAAGAUGGCAUAAAAUAGGUUGGUAUUGGUUAGCUGAAGAGAUGGAGGACCACUAAGAGAUAAUCUGCUAGUAUGUUUCCUUCUUAUUCCACUUCUCUUCCUUUUGUUGUCAAUGGUCUGUAUCAACCUCUUGGUUAAUAACUGAGGGAGAUCUCAUUAUACUCUCAGCAUCAGCUGGGAAUGUAGUUUACAGUAUAAAAUUAGAUCCUCACUUCUAUCUGUCCUUGCAUUCUUGUUUCCAAAACAGAGAUGAAGUGAACUACUGCUGUUCUUGGUAGUCUGUCAUAUUCUUUCUGAUAUUGUCCAACCAUAGAAAGGAGACAUAAAGGAAGACACGCGGAAAAUGAACAAUGUAAUCUAGAUUUGUAGGAGCAGUUCUGCAAAAAGACAGCAUAAGGACAGAUAUUUUAGAGUUGCACUAUACUUGGUUGACCAAUCAAUUUCCAUGUUUCUAUUCAUACACUCUAAUUUGGGCUUACAGGAACGGAGUAUCUCUAUUCUUUUAACAAUUCAAGUUAACAGCUGAUAUUUUGGCAUAGAUCCUGUGAGUUUAAGAAGAUAUGGAAUAAAGCCAACGCAUCUCCUGGUGGACACAAAGUCCAGGGAGAGCAAAGUGCAGAGAGAGCUUAUAGCAUCACUAAAGGAAGACUAUGGCUGUGUUCUGCUCAGAAAGAAGGCAAAUUGCUUCUGAGGGUUCAUAGCAAUACCAGGCAAAGUAUUUCACAGAUGUGGUACUGAAGCAUG
rnacentral:lncRNA from 1 species